UACGUAGGGUGCGAGCGUUAAUCGGAAUUACUGGGCGUAAAGCGUGCGCAGGCGGUGAUGUAAGACAGAUGUGAAAUCCCCGGGCUCAACCUGGGACCUGCAUUUGUGACUGCAUCGCUGAGAGACGGUAGAGGGGGAUGGAAUUCCGCGUGUAGCAGUGAAAUGCGUAGAUAUGCGGAGGAACACCGAUGGCGAAGGCAAUCCCCUGGGCCUGCACUGACGCUCAUGCACGAAAGCGUGGGGAGCAAACAGG
rnacentral:rRNA from 1 species